rnacentral:rRNA from 1 species
CGCCCAUUAAAGUGGUACGCGAGCUGGGUUCAGAACGUCGUGAGACAGUUCGGUCCCUAUCCGUCGCAGGCGUAGGAAAUUUGAGAAGACCUGUCCUUAGUACGAGAGGACCGGGAUGGACGUACCUCUGGUGUACCAGUUGUUCUGCCAAGGGCAUGGCUGGGUAGCUAUGUACGGAAUGGAUAAGCGCUGAAAGCAUCUAAGCGCGAAGCCAACUUCAAGAUAAGAUUUCCCACCGCAAGGGUAAGACCCCAGAAAGACUAUCUGGUUGAUAGGUCGAAGGUGUAAGUGCAGCAAUGUAUUUAGCUUAUCGAUACUAAUAGGUCGAGGACUUGACCAA